rnacentral:rRNA from 1 species
CAGGCACGCAAAACCCCACACUCCCGGAACGGGGAGGUAGUGACAAAAAAUAACGAUACGGGACUCGAUAUGAGGCCUCGUAAUCGGAAUGAGUACACUCUAAAUCCUUUAACAAAAAUCUAUUGGAGGGCAAGUCUGGUGCCAGCAGCCGCGGUAAUUCCAGCUCCAAUAGCGUAUAUUAAAGUUGUUGCGGUUAAAAAGCUCGUAGUUGGUUCUGCGUCCCGCGCUGUCGGUACACCGUUUGUCGGUGACACUGGCAUGACGCGGGAUGUCCUGUCGGUGGCGGCGGAGACCAUAUCGUCGUCGGAUAACACCGCGGCGUGUUGGCCUUCUGUCGCCGGCUAUAUCCUACCGCGGUGCUCUUCACUGAGUGUCGAGGUAGGCCGACACGUUUACUUUGAACAAAUUAGAGUGCUUAAAGCAGGCAAAAAUCUCUGCCAGAAUAGUGGUGCAUGGAAUAAUGGAACAGGACCUUGGUUCUAUUCUGUUGGUCUCCGGAACACAAGGUAAUGAUCAAUGUGGACAGGCGGGGGCAUUCGUAUUGCGGCGUUAGAGGUGAAAUUCUUGGAUCGUCGCAAGACGCACUAGAGCGAAAGCAAUUGCCAAGUAUGUCUUAAUUGAUCAAGAACGAAAGUUAGAGGUUCGAAGGCGAUCAGAUACCGCCCUAGUUCUAACCAUAAACGAUGCCAGCCAGCGAUCCGCCGAUGUUCCUUUGAUGACUCGGCGGGGAGCUUUCCCCGGGAAACCAAAGCUUUUGGGUUCCGGGGGAAGUAUGGUUGCAAAGCUGAAACUUAAAGGAAUUGACGGAAGGGCACCACCAGAAGUGGAGCCUGCGGCUUAAUUUGACUCAACACGGGAAACCUCACCAGGUCAGGACAUUGGAUUGAUUGACAGAUUG